rnacentral:lncRNA from 1 species
CGAAAAAUACAUCUUUAACAAUUUUUCCACAAAUACAACCACAUUCAACUUCUUCCACUAACAGAUAGAAUGAUGAAGAAUCGAAUAUUCCUAGCUUGAAAGUGCAAUUCCAGCGCCGCGCAAGCCUCUAAACCGGAAGCCCUAAUUGCACCCCCAAACACUAUUCCCAGUAUCAGCAUUCAAAACCCCUGCUAACAACUGGAAAAAAAUGUAAACAUGGAGUUAUUACUAUUCAUCACCACGAACUACAAUCAUUGUCGGUGCAAAAAUAAAAGAAAUCAAUUUUUUUUUUCCAGAUCGGCGAAUUAAAGUGAGAGAAAUUACCGUCGAUGGAGCGCCUGGGUAUCGUGAUUUCUGAGCUCUGGUUGUGUAUGUAGCUGAAAUUCAUGAGCGGGCGGCG